rnacentral:misc_RNA from 1 species
GGAAAGAUCUGUCUGGUGUGUGCCUUCCUGUGUACUUCAAUGAGCCACUAUCUUCACUGCAGAAAUGCUUUGAAGAUUUGGAGUACUCACACCUGGUUGAUCAAGCACUGGAGUGGGGAAAGCAGGGAGAUGAUCUGAUGAGAAUCCUUAAGAUUGCAGCUUUUGCUGUAUCUGGUUAUGCAUCGACUCAGGGCAGACAAUGCAAACCUUUUAAUCCUCUCCUUGGUGAAACCUACGAGGCAGAUUAUCCUGACAAGGGUCUACACUUCUUUUCUGAAAAAGUUAGUCAUCACCCCAUGGUUGUUGCUUGCCACUGUGAGGGCAGAGGGUGGAAAUUCUGGGCAGAUUCUAAUCUCAAAGGGAAGUUUUGGGGACGCUCAAUCCAACUUGAUCCUGUGGGGGUUCUAACCCUGCAAUUUGAAGAUGGUGAGACAUUUCAGUGGAGCAAGGUUACUACUUCUAUAUACAACAUAAUAAUUGGUAAAAUCUAUUGUGACCAUUAUGGCGCUAUGCGGAUCAAAGGCAGUGGUAAAUAUUCAUGCAAGCUCAAAUUCAAGGAGCAGUCUAUUAUUGAUCGAAAUCCUCAUCAGGUUCAUGGAUUUGUGCAAGACAACAGGACAGGAGAAAAAGUGGCCAUGUUAUUGGGGAAGUGGGAUGAAGCAAUGUAUUAUGUGUUGGGAGAUCCAACUACAAAGCCAAAGGGCUAUGAUCCCAUGACUGAAGCCAUAUUGUUGUGGGAGAGGGACAAAUCUACUCCCAAAACAAGAUACAACCUCACACCUUUUGCAAUAUCUUUAAAUGAAUUGACACCUGGGUUAAGAGAGAAGCUUCCACCAACUGACUCAAGGCUGAGGCCUGAUCAGCGCCACUUAGAGAAUGGGGAGUAUGAGCUGGCUAAUGCAGAGAAGCUUAGGCUUGAACAGUUGCAGAGACAGGCAAGGAAACUACAGGAGAGGGGUUGGAGACCAAGAUGGUUUAGCAAGGAUGAGGAUGGUUGUUAUCGUUAUGUGGGUGGAUAUUGGGAAGCAAAGGAGAAACAUAAUUGGGAAGGUAUCUCUGAUAUAUUUGGGCAUACAGGUGAUCCUUCUCCAGUAAUCGAAGAGUUUGCCUGUUAAGCCUGCUCUUCAUUUCUUAUGGAGAGGUACAUGUUACAUGGCUUUUCUAGCAACUAGGUUUCUGAGUUUUGACAUUUUCCUUCACAAUUUGAUACUAUCUAUUUUAAUGUGUAUAAUAGCUCUCUCUAGGGUGCUUGGUCUGAUAUCAGCUCAGCUAGACAUUUUUAUAUCACAAGGAAAGUUUCAGUAUCAUUCAACUGGAACUUGGGACUAUUUCUUAGUUGUGACGGUUCAAAAGUAGUUGUUUUUUCCCAAAAAAUGAUUCAGUAAAAACUAGGGGUGUCC